GGGUUGUGAGGUUAAGCGACUAAGCGUACACGGUGGAUGCCCUGGCAGUCAGAGGCGAUGAAGGGCGUGCUAAUCUGCGAUAAGCGCCGGUAAGGUGAUAUGAACCGUUAUAACCGGCGAUACCCGAAUGGGGAAACCCAGUGUGAUUCGUCACACUAUCAUUAACUGAAUCCAUAGGUUAAUGAGGCGAACCGGGGGAACUGAAACAUCUAAGUACCCCGAGGAAAAGAAAUCAACCGAGAUUCCCCCAGUAGCGGCGAGCGAACGGGGAGGAGCCCAGAGCCUGAAUCAGCAUGUGUGUUAGUGGAAGCGUCUGGAAAGGCGCGCGAUACAGGGUGACAGCCCCGUACACAAAAGCGCAUGUGCUGUGAGCUCGAUGAGUAGGGCGGGACACGUGGUAUCCUGUCUGAAUAUGGGGGGACCAUCCUCCAAGGCUAAAUACUCCUGACUGACCGAUAGUGAACCAGUACCGUGAGGGAAAGGCGAAAAGAACCCCGGCGAGGGGAGUGAAAAAGAACCUGAAACCGUGUACGUACAAGCAGUGGGAGCACAGGUUUACCUGUGUGACUGCGUACCUUUUGUAUAAUGGGUCAGCGACUUAUAUUCUGUAGCAAGGUUAACCGCAUAGGGGAGCCGCAGGGAAACCGAGUCUUAACCGGGCGUUAAGUUGCAGGGUAUAGACCCGAAACCCGGUGAUCUAGCCAUGGGCAGGUUGAAGGUUGGGUAACACUAACUGGAGGACCGAACCGACUAAUGUUGAAAAAUUAGCGGAUGACCUGUGGCUGGGGGUGAAAGGCCAAUCAAACCGGGAGAUAGCUGGUUCUCCCCGAAAGCUAUUUAGGUAGCGCCUCGUGAAUUCAUCUCCGGGGGUAGAGCACUGUUUCGGCUAGGGGGUCAUCCCGACUUACCAACCCGAUGCAAACUGCGAAUACCGGAGAAUGUUAUCACGGGAGACACACGGCGGGUGCUAACGUCCGUCGUGAAGAGGGAAACAACCCAGACCGCCAGCUAAGGUCCCAAAGUCAUGGUUAAGUGGGAAACGAUGUGGGAAGGCCCAGACAGCCAGGAUGUUGGCUUAGAAGCAGCCAUCAUUUAAAGAAAGCGUAAUAGCUCACUGGUCGAGUCGGCCUGCGCGGAAGAUGUAACGGGGCUAAACCAUGCACCGAAGCUGCGGCAGCGAACGUAUCACCCAAGACAACUUUGCGGAGUUGACGAUUGACGGAGCGAAGCGACGUCAAAGCGUUCAUUAAAGUCGAGUUGGCUUAGGGAUACGUUCGUUGGGUAGGGGAGCGUUCUGUAAGCCUGUGAAGGUGUGCUGUGAGGCAUGCUGGAGGUAUCAGAAGUGCGAAUGCUGACAUAAGUAACGAUAAAGCGGGUGAAAAGCCCGCUCGCCGGAAGACCAAGGGUUCCUGUCCAACGUUAAUCGGGGCAGGGUGAGUCGACCCCUAAGGCGAGGCCGAAAGGCGUAGUCGAUGGGAAACGGGUUAAUAUUCCCGUACUUGGUGUUACUGCGAAGGGGGGACGGAGAAGGCUAUGUUGGCCGGGCGACGGUUGUCCCGGUUUAAGCGUGUAGGCUGGUUUUCCAGGCAAAUCCGGAAAAUCAAGGCUGAGGCGUGACGACGAGGCACUACGGUGCUGAAGCAACAAAUGCCCUGCUUCCAGGAAAAGCCUCUAAGCAUCAGGUAACAUCAAAUCGUACCCCAAACCGACACAGGUGGUCAGGUAGAGAAUACCAAGGCGCUUGAGAGAACUCGGGUGAAGGAACUAGGCAAAAUGGUGCCGUAACUUCGGGAGAAGGCACGCUGACAUGUAGGUGAAGUGAUUUACUCAUGGAGCUGAAGUCAGUCGAAGAUACCAGCUGGCUGCAACUGUUUAUUAAAAACACAGCACUGUGCAAACACGAAAGUGGACGUAUACGGUGUGACGCCUGCCCGGUGCCGGAAGGUUAAUUGAUGGGGUCAGCGCAAGCGAAGCUCCUGAUCGAAGCCCCGGUAAACGGCGGCCGUAACUAUAACGGUCCUAAGGUAGCGAAAUUCCUUGUCGGGUAAGUUCCGACCUGCACGAAUGGCGUAAUGAUGGCCAGGCUGUCUCCACCCGAGACUCAGUGAAAUUGAACUCGCUGUGAAGAUGCAGUGUACCCGCGGCAAGACGGAAAGACCCCGUGAACCUUUACUAUAGCUUGACACUGAACAUUGAGCCUUGAUGUGUAGGAUAGGUGGGAGGCUUUGAAGCGUGGACGCCAGUCUGCGUGGAGCCGACCUUGAAAUACCACCCUUUAAUGUUUGAUGUUCUAACGUGGACCCGUGAUCCGGGUUGCGGACAGUGUCUGGUGGGUAGUUUGACUGGGGCGGUCUCCUCCUAAAGAGUAACGGAGGAGCACGAAGGUUGGCUAAUCCUGGUCGGACAUCAGGAGGUUAGUGCAAUGGCAUAAGCCAGCUUGACUGCGAGCGUGACGGCGCGAGCAGGUGCGAAAGCAGGUCAUAGUGAUCCGGUGGUUCUGAAUGGAAGGGCCAUCGCUCAACGGAUAAAAGGUACUCCGGGGAUAACAGGCUGAUACCGCCCAAGAGUUCAUAUCGACGGCGGUGUUUGGCACCUCGAUGUCGGCUCAUCACAUCCUGGGGCUGAAGUAGGUCCCAAGGGUAUGGCUGUUCGCCAUUUAAAGUGGUACGCGAGCUGGGUUUAGAACGUCGUGAGACAGUUCGGUCCCUAUCUGCCGUGGGCGCUGGAGAACUGAGGGGGGCUGCUCCUAGUACGAGAGGACCGGAGUGGACGCAUCACUGGUGUUCGGGUUGUCAUGCCAAUGGCACUGCCCGGUAGCUAAAUGCGGAAGAGAUAAGUGCUGAAAGCAUCUAAGCACGAAACUUGCCCCGAGAUGAGUUCUCCCUGAGACUUAAAGUCUCCUGAAGGAACGUUGAAGACGACGACGUUGAUAGGCCGGGUGUGUAAGCGCAGCGAUGCGUUGAGCUAACCGGUACUAAUGAACCGUGAGGCUUAACCUUACAACGCCGAAG
rnacentral:rRNA from 1 species